GGCGCUUCAUUAUUGAUUUCUUAGCUACUUGCCUUCUGGCUGAGAUUCAGCCAUCUAUAUCUCUUUUUCGAUGCAUUUUAUUUUCAAGAGAUAUCUUUAUGUCAAUGAUUGGUGGUAUGCCUCCGUCCAAAAGGAGAUUUCUGUUUUAAUCCAAGGUGCCCCUUCGUCUGUUCAUAGUUGGAAGGAGUGCUUCCUUUAUGUUUCUUGUUCGGCCAUAACUGACUAGGGAUUUGCUUGCUAGGGCCGACCUAGAGAGUCUGCCCUUCAAGCUCCUAUGUUGGGAGACAUAG
rnacentral:lncRNA from 1 species